UACGGAGGGUGCAAGCGUUAUCCGGAUUCACUGGGUUUAAAGGGUGUGUAGGCGGCUUGGUAAGUCCGCUGUGAAAGUCCAGGGCUCAACCCUGGAAUGCCAGUGGAUACUGUCAAGCUAGAGUCCGGAAGAGGCGAGUGGAAUUCCUGGUGUAGCGGUGAAAUGCGCAGAUAUCAGGAGGAACACCAAUGGCGAAGGCAGCUCGCUGGGACGGUACUGACGCUGAGACGCGAAAGCGUGGGGAGCAAACAGG
rnacentral:rRNA from 1 species